rnacentral:rRNA from 1 species
UACGUAGGGGGCAAGCGUUGUCCGGAUUUAUUGGGCGUAAAGAGCGUGUAGGCGGCCAGACAGGUCCGUUGUGAAAACUCGAGGCUCAACCUCGAGACGCCGAUGGAAACCGUCUGGCUAGAGUCCGGAAGAGGAGAGUGGAAUUCCCGGUGUAGCGGUGAAAUGCGCAGAUAUCAGGAAGAACACCGACGGCGAAGGCAGCUCGCUGGGACGGUACUGACGCUGAGGCGCGAAAGCGUGGGGAGCGAACAGG